rnacentral:tRNA from 1 species
GGGUUUUUAAUUUAACAUAAAAUGUAGGCUUUACUGCUCUAAAUAUCAGAUUAAAGUCCUGAAAAUUUCA